GGAUUCUCAGCGUUCUUUUGCACAGUUUGACUGACUUUAAUUAUAUAUAAUCUGUGUACUUAAGUGUUGCGUGCGUGUGAAUGAAGUGUCAUUGCUAUGCUGAUACAUAGCAGUAUAUUUCAAGAUAGCAGUGGCAGUUUUAUUGCACACUUAAAUCCAUUUUUUUUUAACGCUCUUCAGAUAAUCCAUCUGGAGUUUAGUAAAGCAUUUGAUAUCAAGUCUUAGAAAAUCUUACUUAGGAAUAAGUAAUUCAUUCUAGCUGGGCACGAGCAUUUCAUCACCGAGUGUACAACUGGCAGAAGGGUUUUAAGUGAGUUGUUCUAGAAUGUUGUUUCUAAACUAUAUGCUGUGUUCUUUUCUGUAGGUCACUUCUGUGCAGGCAGCCUUACAGACACUCCUCCAUGCCCAGCAGGGAGCUACAAACCCAAAGAGGAGAUUCUGAUGCCCAGCAGCAGCUCCUCGUUCUUACCUGGAAAUGGAUUGUGUUUGAAGUGUCCUGUUGGGUAUUUUUGUCCUGCGGGAGCAAAUCAGCCAGCACCAUGCCAGCCAGGUACAUACAAUCCUCUCCAAGGACAGGAUGAAGCCACUGACUGCAGAGCCUGCCCAGCAGGAAGAGCUUGCACCCAGGCUGGAUUAGCCCAGCCUGACUCUGAGUGCUUACCAGGGUAAGCCUUGAUUGUUUUCUAUGCAUUCCUAUGUGUCUGUACGUAUGGUUCGUCUCCAUUGUGGUGUUAUUGGUUCUUUGGGUUGUUUUUGUUGGUGGUUCAUUUGCAUAGAGAUUCCUCUGGAAUGUUGAGGUUUUAUUACAGUUUCUGGUAAAU
rnacentral:lncRNA from 1 species